CGCGGGAUAGAGCAGUUGGUAGCUCGUCGGGCUCAUAACCCGAAGGUCGAUGGUUCAAGUCCGUCUCCCGCAACCA
rnacentral:tRNA from 1 species